CCUACGGGAGGCAGCAGUGGGGAAUAUUGCACAAUGGGGGAAACCCUGAUGCAGCGACGCCGCGUGAGUGAAGAAGUAUUUCGGUAUGUAAAGCUCUAUCAGCAGGGAAGAAGAAAGACGGUACCUGACUAAGAAGCCCCGGCUAACUACGUGCCAGCAGCCGCGGUCAUACGUAGGGGGCAAGCGUUAUCCGGAUUUACUGGGUGUAAAGGGAGCGUAGACGGCUGUGCAAGUCUGAAGUGAAAGCCCAGGGCUCAACCCUGGGACUGCUUUGGAAACUGUGGAGCUAGAGUGCUGGAGAGGUAAGUGGAAUUCCUAGUGUAGCGGUGAAAUGCGUAGAGAUUAGGAGGAACACCAGUGGCGAAGGCGGCUUACUGGACAGUAACUGACGUUGAGGCUCGAAAGCGUGGGGAGCAAACAGGAUUAGAUACCCCUGUAGUC
rnacentral:rRNA from 1 species